UUUUUGCAUAUACUUACGUGUGUGUGUGUGUGUGUGUGUGUGUGUAUAUAUAUAUACACACACACA
rnacentral:miRNA from 12 species